AUUGAACGCUGGCGGCAUGCCUUACACAUGCAAGUCGAACGGCAGCACGGGUGCUUGCACCUGGUGGCGAGUGGCGAACGGGUGAGUAAUACAUCGGAACGUACCUUAUCGUGGGGGAUAACGCAGCGAAAGCUGUGCUAAUACCGCAUACGCCCUGAGGGGGAAAGCGGGGGAUCGAAAGACCUCGCGCGAUUAGAGCGGCCGAUGCCUGAUUAGCUUGUUGGUGGGGUAAAAGCCCACCAAGGCGACGAUCAGUAGCUGGUCUGAGAGGACGAUCAGCCACACUGGGACUGAGACACGGCCCAGACUCCUACGGGAGGCAGCAGUGGGGAAUUUUGGACAAUGGGGGAAACCCUGAUCCAGCAAUGCCGCGUGAGUGAAGAAGGCCUUCGGGUUGUAAAGCUCUUUUGUCAGGGAAGAAACACCGGCUCUAAC
rnacentral:rRNA from 1 species